GACAGAGGGUGCAAACGUUGUUCGGAAUUACUGGGCGUAAAGCGCGUGUAGGCAGCUCGGAAAGUCGGAUGUGAAAGCCCUGGGCUCAACCUAGGAAGUGCAUUCGAAACUUCCGAGCUGGAGUGCUGGAGAGGAAGGCGGAAUUCUCGGUGUAGAGGUGAAAUUCGUAGAUAUCGAGAGGAACACCGGUGGCGAAGGCGGCCUUCAGGACAGUUACUGACGCUGAGACGCGAAAGCGUGGGGAGCAAACAG
rnacentral:rRNA from 1 species